rnacentral:rRNA from 1 species
AGAGGGGGCAAGCGUUGUUCGGAAUUACUGGGCGUAAAGGGCGCGUAGGCGGCCUUCUAAGUCGAACGUGAAAUCCCUGGGCUCAACCCAGGAACUGCGUCCGAGACUGGAAGGCUCGAAUCCGGGAGAGGGAUGUGGAAUUCCAGGUGUAGCGGUGAAAUGCGUAGAUAUCUGGAGGAACAUCGGUGGCGAAGGCGGCAUCCUGGACCGGUAUUGACGCUGAGGCGCGAAAGCCAGGGGAGCAAACGGGAUUAGAUACCCCGGUAGUCCUGGCCCUAAACGGUGAAUGCUUGGUGUGGCGGGUAUCGAUCCCUGCCGUGCCGAAGCUAACGCAUUAAGCAUUCCGCCUGGGGAGUACGGUCGCAAGGCUG